GAAAGAUUUUUAUAAAAAUGCUUGAUUUUCCUUUUAAGUCGAGAUUUAAUAUGUUAUCAGCCUUACAUGAAUUAUCAGUGAUGGCUUAAAUGUAGAGAUCAUAAGCAUUCUCUUUGAACAAAACCACUCAAAUGAAAAAUCUGCUUUUUAUACCAAAUCUUAACAACAUAAGUUGCAGCUUCAGUGGCGAGAACAUACAAUGUGGAUGUAAAUGACACCUCAGUCAUUUAGCAGAUGAUAAAGGCAGACGUCGGUGAGUUUAUGAGUAAACUGGGUUGAACAGGUUUGACUGGGCAAACCUGACUUUGUCAAAAGGGAUAUUUGCAAAUCUGAUUAUAUACAAAACACGUUCCACCCAUGUGGAAUCAACGACCAGUUUUGAUCAAGUACAGACAUACUGCAUUGUCAGCCUGAGAAGGAACUGAGACAAGGUUAUUUUUUCCCAGUACAUUUUGAAAUAAGUUCUUCUUUCUUUUCUACAGAUUUGGGAAGAAAUGGAAUGGACUACAAAUAUGGAUACUACUUUUUGUCUGAGAUGAACGGUAAUGAAGGUCAGCUCAUCUGAGGAAAUGAGAACUACAGCUUCUGAAUGACAAAGUGACAGUAUCUGUCACAGGUAGAUAGAAGUCAUGAAAACCUCUGUGUUUUAAGUGUAGCUCAUUGAAGAGCUAAGAGGCCAGAAGUGCUUCAACAACUGGACAUGGUGGACAUCCUUUAUUCUUUCUAAUCACUUGGAAAGAGGAUAAAUCCUAUAAGAGAUUCAGCUCAACAUGCCAGCUUAGAGAUCCGGCUCCAUCUGCUGAGGACUCGCCUGGUGCAGGUGGAGGAUCGGAGCAGCUAUCUAGUGUCCAGUGUGAUUCACUCCAUCACCAGAACGAUGCAGUGUUCGAACCUCAUGCAUACCCGGCGCCUGGUGGGAGAUGGAACACCCAGAUGACUGAUGUUCCCUUCAACCUGAGGGAAAUCACUCGUAGUGUGACUGCAGCAAGGUGCAUGCAGAGUCCAUGGAGGGAGAUAGUGUUCACUGUUGGGACUGCCCUGCUCUAUGUAUGUUGCAUGUGUAAAAUCAUGUAUUAAAAAUAAUAUUUUUUACAAUUUUGAAUGUGUUUUUUGUUUUUUUUUCUUUUUUGUUUUGUUUUUUUUAGCCUUUAUUUAACCAAGUCGGUCCCGUUGAGAUACAAUGACCUCUUUUUCAAGGGAAGCCUGGCCCAGACAGCAGCCAGAGAAAUAUUAAAAGUGCAACAAUUCAAAACAGACAACACUAACUCACUUAACAAAAUGAAUAGAAU
ensembl:lncRNA